CGGCAGAUACGGCAGGCCGCGGCGAGCCCGCUUCAUGAGGUUGUACUCCACCAGCGGCGCCGCCUCCGGCACGAUCUCCCUCACGCCGUCCAGCGCCCCGAACCGCUCCGCCCACGCCGCCAGCCGCGGCGUCCUGGCCGGGUCGAUGGUCCGCACGCCGCACAUGGCCUCGGACGCGCGCAGCCACCCGAUGAACCCGCCGAGCGCCACGUCCACCAGCCCCACGCCGCCCCCGCCGAAGAAGUCCCUGUCCCCGAGCUCCCCCUCGAACGCCUCCAGCACGGCGAUGACCUCCCUCGCCGCCCCCGCCCGCUCAUCGGCCGUGCUCCCGCCGUAGAGCCCCUCGUCCAGAACCCCAGCAGCGUCAGCCCCUCCUCCGUGCUGCUGCCGCCGCCUCCGGUGGCUUCCGCCAUUGCUGCUGUGCCUGCCGAUCGAGCGGUGCGAUGA
rnacentral:rRNA from 1 species